GGAGAAAAAGAGGAGGAAUGGCAAAGGCUGAUUGACUUUGUCAGCUACUUACUUUAAAAAACAUUUGAGAAAGCCAGAAAGCAGAGGGGAGGAAGCUCCACCGUCAUGAGAAUGGGAAGCAGAGGCAGCGGCAGCGUGCACAGACAUCCUUUGAAGGUUUGUUAUAAACACAGAAACUGAUGUCUGGGAAAAGGGCCAGUUGGGUUAUCCUUCUUGUUUCAUUGUUUGUCCUGCUUAAAAUUGAGAAUGAACAGAGACUCACUGAUUUCAUCUUCUGAAUUUGAAAAGAAUGACACACAUUGCCCUGCAAUUCAGGUCUGACUUCAGCUGCAGGAAGACAGACCCCCAACCCAGAACAACCCUGCGUGGGGAAUCCUUCGGGAAAAGGCUAAGCAAAAUACAACACUGGAAUUUGGGGAGGGGCUUGGAGAGUUUGUUUUUAAAAGUCUUGAGCAAUAAAUCAUCUAACCACAAGAGUAAGAAAAUUAGUUUUCAACUUUAAUUUCUUUGGUCUUUCAGUUUUAACAGGCACACCUUUAACAUUCAUUUUCGACCCACUGAAGAGGAGAUGAGCUUAUUGGCUGGUGCACCUUGACAGCAUGUAGGUGGAAAACAGGACAUUCAGUCUUUGGUGCAGAGUGGGAGAUACUUAUGAACCAUUUUAGCACAUUUCAGGACCAUGUAACAAAAUCAACACUGCAUUGAAGUGGCAUCAGGAAGAUCCAUCCACAGAAGCAAUGUCUGCUAUGCAGGAAGCAGCUUCAUCAAGGUGGAAGCAGGUCUGUGCUUCCAGGCUGGCCAGUAUCGUUCAUGAAAACAGCACAUUGUGGCUGACUAUGGUUUGAAGAAACAAAGGAAGCCAAAGAAAACAAAAAAUGCUAACGGAGAAUUUAAUCCAUCUCUCAGAGGUGGAAGAAGUUUCAUUUGAAUUGCUCCCUGUUCUUUUACUCUUCUUUCCCCCGAAAGGGAGUGUGGUAGAUUGAGUUUAGAAGACAGCCCUGAACAUGUAUGGUUCAGCCCUUUUGCUCCAUUUUGUCUUGGAGAAGGGCUGGAUUCUGUGCUAUUCUCCUGUGCUUUAAGUUUUGUAGCUACGGGAUUUAUCUAACACAGCCUGACUGGUUUGGAAAGUCUGUCUUAUUUUGAUGUUUUCUGUUACCUAGCCCGCUAACAUUUUUUUCAAGAAAUAUAGCUAGUAUUGUCUCCCUC
rnacentral:lncRNA from 1 species